UGCUCUGUAUUAGGAUCAAGGGCCAGAUUUUAGCAUCAGAGUCUUAUGCAAGACUAUGAGAAGCCGCAGAAGCUGGAUUUGAGUUGAAGAAUGAGUAAUCGGUUUUGAAUAGAGAUGAUGAAGGAGGAGAAGGGAAGGACGACAAAGGGGAGAAACAGGAGGAAGAUUGAGACUUGAAUAGAAGAGCAGAAAAAGGAGGAGGAGAAGAAGAGAAACAGAAGGAGAAGAAGUGUGAUCAAUAAAAUAUACAUUUAUUUUAACUGAUGGGUUGGAGUGUAAAUAUAACAAAAUUGUCAAAUACCACAUCAUCUGUCAAAUUUAAAUUU
rnacentral:lncRNA from 1 species